rnacentral:lncRNA from 1 species
UGAAACUAUGAGGUGGUGGUGCAGCCUGGUGAUGGGGGCAGCCUUCAGGCACAGCGUGCCGUGAUGUGUUACAGAGAUAAGGGACAACAAGAACACAGCUAGAAAAUUGAAGGAGUAUCAGUUUUGCAUUUUUCUGGAGUGAAACACUUUUCCUUGUAAAAUACGUGGUGCUGGCGUUUCCUUUGCACUGUAACCAACUUCAUGACAGGGUGAUUUGGAGCACUCCGGGUGUAACCUGGCUGUCAAAACAGGCUGAAACAGGCAACACUUGGGACAUUCAGGCCAGGGGGAGUGCCACUAAACCAUCUCAGCAGGUGCGAUACUGUCCUGCACCCAUCAGUUCGAAGAUCUGUCUUUUUCUCCAGGACUUGAUGAGGUGAGAAGCUCCCUUGUGACAGCCUCUCCUGCAUGGAUUGGUGACUCCAGGUGAGCAGCAGUCUGUGCCGAGACGCUGGGUGUGCACUCACCUGCCUUCACGUGUGACAUGUCUCAGCCCCUGACGUCCAGGGGGGAGGAUGCUGAAAAGCCUAUCCUUCUUAUUUUGGGUCUUCCCUUUGU